AGGAGCUUGCUCUUAUGAAGUUAGCGGCGGACGGGUGAGUAACACGUGGGUAACCUGCCCAUAAGACUGGGAUAACUCCGGGAAACCGGGGCUAAUACCGGAUAAUAUUUUGAACCGCAUGGUUCGAAAUUGAAAGGCGGCUUCGGCUGUCACUUAUGGAUGGACCCGCGUCGCAUUAGCUAGUUGGUGAGGUAACGGCUCACCAAGGCAACGAUGCGUAGCCGACCUGAGAGGGUGAUCGGCCACACUGGGACUGAGACACGGCCCAGACUCCUACGGGAGGCAGCAGUAGGGAAUCUUCCGCAAUGGACGAAAGUCUGACGGAGCAACGCCGCGUGAGUGAUGAAGGCUUUCGGGUCGUAAAACUCUGUUGUUAGGGAAGAACAAGUGCUAGUUGAAUAAGCUGGCACCUUGACGGUACCUAACCAGAAAGCCACGGCUAACUACGUGCCAGCAGCCGCGGUAAUACGUAGGUGGCAAGCGGUAUCCGGAAUUAUUGGGCGUAAAGCGCGCGCAGGUGGUUUCUUAAGUCUGAUGUGAAAGCCCACGGCUCAACCGUGGAGGGUCAUUGGAAACUGGGAGACUUGAGUGCAGAAGAGGAAAGUGGAAUUCCAUGUGUAGCGGUGAAAUGCGUAGAGAUAUGGAGGAACACCAGUGGCGAAGGCGACUUUCUGGUCUGUAACUGACACUGAGGCGCGAAAGCGUGGGGAGCAAACAGGAUUAGAUGCGCUGGUAGUCCACGCCGUAAACGAUGAGGGCUAAGUGUUAGAGGGUUUCCUUCCCUUUAGUGCUGAAGUUAACGCAUUAAGCACUCCGCCUGGGGAGUACGGCCGCAAGGCUGAAACUCAAAGGAAUUGACGGGGGCCCGCACAAGCGGUGGAGCAUGUGGGGGGUUGGGAUGCAACGCGAAGAACCUUACCAGGUCUUGACAUCCUCUGACAACCCUAGAGAUAGGGCUUCUCCUUCGGGAGCAGAGUGACAGGUGGUGCAUGGUUGUCGUCAGCUCGUGUCGUGAGAUGUUGGGUUAAGUCCCGCAACGAGCGCAACCCUUGAUCUUAGUUGCCAUCAUUCAGUUGGGCACUUUAAGGUGACUGCCGGUGACAAACCGGAGGAAGGUGGGGAUGACGUCAAA
rnacentral:rRNA from 2 species